CUCACAUCAGUUGAGCUCCAACAUCAACAUGUUCUCUGCAGCUCUGAUUCUGCUGCUGGCUGCUGGAUCCUGUGUGAACAGUAUUGAUCUCAUCCAGCCAGACUCAAUGCUUGUGCAGCCUGGACAGACUCUGACCAUCACCUGUCAACAGUCUGGUUAUUCUGUGACUUCUAACAGCUAUGCAACAGGUUGGAUCAGACAGCGUGAAGGAAAAGCAAUGGAUUGGAUUGUGCAGCAGUGGGGUAGUGGUACACUUUGGCAAAAUGAUGCUCUGAAGAACAAGUUCACUUACACCAGAGACACUUCUGCAGGAACAGUGACAAUAACAGGACAGAAUAUGCAGCCUGAAGACUCUGCUGUGUAUUACUGUGCCAGAGACACACAGUGA